rfam:Picea glauca, whole genome shotgun sequence.
UAUCACACACAGUAUAAUGUGUGUGAUAUAUUAAUGUGUGUGAUAUUAAUAUAUCACACACAUUAUACUGUGUGUGAUA